AUUGAACGCUGGCGGCAUGCUUUACGCAUGCAAGUCGAACGGUAACAGGCCGCAAGGCGCUGACGAGUGGCGAACGGGUGAGUAAUGCAUCGGAACGUGCCCAGUCGUGGGGGAUAACGCAGCGAAAGUUGCGCUAAUACCGCAUACGAUCUAUGGAUGAAAGCGGGGGACCGUAAGGCCUCGCGCGAGUGGAGCGGCCGGUGUCAGAUUAGGUAGGUGGUGGGGUAAAGGCUCACCAAGCCGACGAUCUGUAGCUGGUCUGAGAGGACGACCAGCCACACUGGGACUGAGACACGGCCCAGACUCCUACGGGAGGCAGCAGUAGGGAAUUUUGGACAAUGGGCGCAAGCCUGAUCCAGCAAUGCCGCGUGCAGGAAGAAGGGCUUCGGGUUGUAAACUGCUUUUGUACGGAACGAAACGGUCCUGGUUAAUACCCGGGGCUAAUGACGGUACCGUAAGAAUAAGCACCGGCUAACUACGUGCCAGCCGCCGCGGUAAUAC
rnacentral:rRNA from 1 species